rnacentral:rRNA from 1 species
CCUACGGUGGACAGCAGUGGGGAAUAUUGCGCCAUGGGCGAAAGCCUGACGCAGCGACGCCGCGUGAGUGAAGACGUAUUUCGGUAUUUCAAGCUCUAUCAGCAGGGAAGAAAAUGACGGUACCUGACUAAUAAGCCCCGGCUAACUACGUGCCAGCAGCCGCGGUAAUACGUAGGGGGCAAGCGUUAUCCGGAUGUACUGGGUGUAAAGGGAGCGUAGCCGGUUAUGCAAGUCUGAAGUGAAAGCCCAAGGCUCAACCAUGGGACUGCUUUGGAAACUGUAAAACUGGAGUGCAGGAGAGGUAAGCGGAAUUCCUAGUGUAGCGGUGAAAUGCGUAGAUAUUAGGAGGAACACCAGUGGCGAAGGCGGCUUACUGGACUGUAACUGACGUUGAGGCUCGAAGGCGUGGGGAGCAAACAGGAUUAGAUACCCGGGUAGUC